AAAUGUGAGGGCGAUCUGGCUGCGACAUCUGUCACCCCAUUGAUCGCCAGGGUUGAUUCGGCUGAUCUGGCUGGCUAGGCGGGUGUCCCCUUCCUCCCUCACCGCUCCAUGUGCGUCCCUCCCGAAGCUGCGCGCUCGGUGGAAGAGGACGACCAUCCCAGAUAGAAGGAGUGUACCGUUCUUCGGUCAAGGGCAAAAAUGUG